AUCCAGUUGACGAGUCCAAAAUAGGACGAAAUGCACAUCCUGGAU
rnacentral:hammerhead_ribozyme from 1 species